GCCGCCGUAGCUCAGCCCGGUGGAGCGCCGGCCUCGUAACGGCUAGAAAACACCGGAGUCGCUGGACAGCCGGUGGACGCGGGUUCAAAUCCCGCCGGCGGCU
rnacentral:tRNA from 1 species